AUUGAACGCUGGCGGCAUGCCUUACACAUGCAAGUCGAACGGUAACAGGUCCUCGGAUGCUGACGAGUGGCGAACGGGUGAGUAAUACAUCGGAACGUGCCUAGUAGUGGGGGAUAACUACUCGAAAGAGUGGCUAAUACCGCAUGAGAUCUACGGAUGAAAGCAGGGGAUCGCAAGACCUUGUGCUACUAGAGCGGCCGAUGGCAGAUUAGGUAGUUGGUGGGAUAAAAGCUUACCAAGCCGACGAUCUGUAGCUGGUCUGAGAGGACGAUCAGCCACACUGGGACUGAGACGCGGCUCAGACUCCUACGGGAGGCAGCAGUGGGGAAUUUUGGACAAUGGGCGCAAGCCUGAUCCAGCAAUGCCGCGUGCAGGAUGAAGGCCUUCGGGUUGUAAACUGCUUUUGUACGGAACGAAAAGCCCUGGGUUAAUACCCUGGGGUCAUGACGGUACCGUAAGAAUAAGCACCGGCUGACUACGUGCCAGCCGCCGCAGUAAUAC
rnacentral:rRNA from 1 species